ACCUGUGUCAUUCCUCAACAUUUUUUCACCAUAUACAAGUUUUCUUUUUUUUUUUUUUUUUUUUUUAUAAAAUAAUGAUAUUAAAUAUAUAAACAAAGAAUAUUGAACUCAUGGGCUUUUUGGUGGAAGUCAUUCAAAAUCUUCAUCAGUGUGGACAGAUCUGUGACAGAUUUUCUGAUGGAUGCCAAAAGUGUGUAAAAACUGUGCAGUAGCAGUCGACGGAUUUGCGAUUUAUUUGGCAUUAAUAGCUGAUUGGUAGAUCAUAUGCUGAUAGUUUUUCCGGGUUGCGUCUGCACAGGAGCGGUUGAGAAGUCAUUUUACAGUAUGAGAGCGGCCUCUAGAGGCGAAUCAAUGACACCAUGUGCUGUUUGGUUUGACACUUGAGACUACGCGCUUCAUUAAAUCAUUAAAUUGCAUUUUUAAAAAUGUCAUUUGUUUUUAUUACAACGUUAUGUACUAUUUUACAUGGCGAGGUGGAGGUGAUUAAUCGGCUAUCAGCAAGUGCGAAUCCAACCAAGCUAUCGGUAUCAUUAAAAUCUGUGACUAAUUAGGUACAGUGUUUUGUGUGUGUGUGUGUGUGUGUGUGUGUGUGUGUGUGUGUGUGUGUGUGUGAGUGUGUGUGUGUGUGUGUGUGUGUGUGUGUUAUGUUUGCUUUUUUUCCCUCCUAUUACAUGCUGUUGUCUUCCAGGUUUUGUCCCUCAAUCCGAUUCCCCUAUGCUUCCUGUUCUAAUGGCUUGUUUUUCCCUUUUUCACUUCCUUCCGAUUUAGUAAAUUACACUGAACAAACCCAACAGUACUCAAUAUCAUCAGAACACAGAGGCAGAUAGCAUUUUUAUUAUGAUUAUUAUUAUUAUUACAUAAACGCAGCUUAGAAUUCUCUCCGAACUAUAAUUCUUCAGGAAGGUGACAAACUGACUUUUCUCCGCUUAAAGGGCUUUUGAUGAUGAUGAUGAUGAUGAGCAGGAGGAGCAGCAUCAUUCAGCUUCUGUGUUCUUAUCCUUUGUGCAUGAACAGGGUUUUACACACACACACACACACACACACACGCUGCAGCCGCGUUUCCCUUCUUCCUUCCGAGCAGACGAAUCGGUACGCCUUCAUUACGCCUCAAUGUCUCGUUUAAAGGAAACAGUAGGAAAAAAUAAGUGGUUUCCUCGACCUUUUCUUUCCAGGUGUUGUGGAUUAUACUUGCAUUUUGUGUGUAUGUUGCGAAGGAACUCGUGUGUGUGUGUGUGUGUGUGUGUGUGUGUGUGUGUGAGAGAGAGUGAGUGUGCGUGGGUGUGUGGAUACCUAUGAAACAGUGAGUAUGCUAGUGGUCAUGCAUCCAAGAACGCGACGGGGUCUUUGGCCAUGAAAGAAAAAAAAAUCCAGAAUGAUUUAUUUAGUUCUUAUUUAAUGAGGUAAGAAACGACCUUGAGAUAUGAAUAUGUAUUAUGUUCUAAUGUGAUGCUAAAAGAAACAGUUAUGGAUAUGUAUUCUGUUACUAUGUAAUAAAGCGAGCAAAUGAGUUUUCUGCUCCUUCAGAUGAAA